rnacentral:lncRNA from 1 species
CUAGGAUUACAGGCGUGAGCCGCCGCGCCCGGCCAAUGUAGUCCUUUUUCAUCAACAGUUUCUGUUCAAGGUGGACUUUGAUACAUAGCCUGUGAAGCACUUGCAGAGGAGAAGUUGGGGAAAGAGAGAGAGCCUUCCUCCAGGUGCAUAAAUGAAAGAGACAACUCACCACCUGGAGCACUGUUAACAUACAUGGGCAGAGACACUGUUUGCCAAACGGCCCAGAAGUAAGAAGUUGCUGCUGCUUUUGGUGACUCUAGAGGAUUGUUAAGAGAAUGACUGUGGCUGAGUAUUGGUAAG